rnacentral:rRNA from 1 species
AACAGGAUAGCUUGCUAUCGCUGACGAGCGGCGGACGGGUGAGUAACGCGUGGGAAUAUGCCCUUCUCUAAGGAAUAGCCUCUGGAAACGGAGAGUAAUACCUUAUACGCCCUUUGGGGGAAAGAUUUAUCGGAGAAGGAUUAGCCCGCGUUAGAUUAGAUAGUUGGUGGGGUAAUGGCCUACCAAGUCUACGAUCUAUAGCUGGUUUUAGAGGAUGAUC